AGAGUUUGAUCAUGGCUCAGGAUGAACGCUGGCGGUAUGCCUAACACAUGCAAGUCGAACGAUGUCUUCGGACAUAGUGGCGGACGGGUGAGUAACGCGUGAGAAUCUGCCUCUAGGAUGGGGAUAACGGUUGGAAACGACCGCUAACACCCAAUAUGCCGUAAGGUGAAAAAUUUAUUGCCUGGAGAGGAGCUCGCGUCUGAUUAGCUAGUUGGUGGGGUAAGAGCUCACCAAGGCCUCGAUCAGUAGCUGGUCUGAGAGGAUGAGCAGCCACACUGGGACUGAGACACGGCCCAGACUCCUACGGGAGGCAGCAGUGGGGAAUUUUCCGCAAUGGGCGAAAGCCUGACGGAGCAAUACCGCGUGAGGGAGGAAUGCCUUUGGGUUGUAAACCUCUUUUCUCAGGGAAGAAGAUCUGACGGUACCUGAGGAAUAAGUAUCGGCUAACUCCGUGCCAGCAGCCGCGGUAAUACGGAGGAUGCAAGCGUUAUCCGGAAUCAUUGGGCGUAAAGCGUCCGCAGGUGGUUUCCAAAGUCUGCUGUUAAAGACUGGAGCUCAACUCCGGAACGGCGGUGGAAACUUGGAAACUAGAGUUCGGUAGGGGUAGCAGGAAUUCCCAGUGUAGCGGUGAAAUGCGUAGAUAUUGGGAAGAACAUCGGUGGCGAANGCGUGCUACUGGACCGUAACUGACACUCANGGACGAAAGCUAGGGGAGCGAAAGGGANUA
rnacentral:rRNA from 1 species